rnacentral:rRNA from 1 species
GAGGAAGGUAGGGAUGACGUCAAGUCCUCAUGGCCUUUAUGUCCAGGGCUACACACGUGCUACAAUGGCCGGUACAAACCGCUGCAAACCCGCGAGGGUGAGCCAAUCGGAGAAAGCCGGCCUCAGUUCGGAUUGCAGUCUGCAACUCGACUGCAUGAAGCUGGAAUCGCUAGUAAUCGCGGACCAGCAUGCCGCGGUGAAUACGUUCCCGGGCCUUGUACACACCGCCCGUCACAUCACGAAAGUGGGUUGUACUAGAAGCAGGUGAGCUAACCGCAAGGAAGCAGCCUUCCAAGGUGUGAUUCAUGAUUGGGGUGAAGUCGUAACAAGGUAGCCGUAA